CCAGUAGCCACUGCGUGGUGGGGCGCGCGGGCCGGCUCCCAGGGCACCCGAGUAGUAGGGGACUGUCCGUCCUCCCAGCCUGGCAGUUGGGGGUUCGCGUCUGCGCGGUCGCGACGCCUAGAUGGGCUUUGUUCCUGCAGCCCAUAUUGAAGAUGUGCGUCUGUCCACGCGGAAAUGGGGUGCCCUGCUUUGAGACCGGGGCCUCCGCGUCCUAGCUGGCAAUGCUGGGCGUCUCCCUGGCACCCCGCCCAGGGCCUAGCGGCAAGGGUGUUUGUCUGUUGGAGUAGUUCUCAAAGUGUGGGCCAGGGACACCUUGGGGUUUCCUGAGACCCUAUGAGCUGAACCCAGCCUCCAUGCUGUGAGGACCGUCAGCCACGUGAAGGGGUCGGAUGUCAGCGCCCCAGUCGUCAGCCCCUGCCGGGCCGCAGCUGGCAGCCAGCACCAUCUUCGUUCGGAGCCCUCACGUGGCUCCAGCCCCGGCUGCGUGUACCCAAAACCACGCGAGCGGCCCCAAGUGAAAAGAACCACCCAGCUACCCAGGCAACUUCUGGAACGGUACUGUGUCAUUCAAGUCUGGAGUGGUCCAGAUGGGAUUCGAGUCUACAAACUAAAUCAUGGCAAGAAGCAUCGAGUCAAAGGUGUGGAGGUGUGGUUCUGAAAACCAGUAUCAAGCUGGAAUUCUAUGAACCGUGUGCUUUAUGCACUUGAGCAGCCAGAGCAGUCGUCUGAGCUAGUGAUGGAACAGGUCCUGUGAAUACUGCUAACAUAUUCAUGUUUGAAGAGGCCUGAGAGCUUGACAAAGGCGACUACACUGGCAGCCUCAGGCUCCAGCUGUUACCAGGUCUCGUUUUCAGGGUUGGCCUGGCCUUUGGCUGGCACCUGGCAACUUGGCUUUUAGAGUGUUGUCUGUAACCCAACUGGUAAGCAUGUCUCACUGUGCCCAGAACAUCAAACGAUGUGAUUUAUACUGAGCACCUGCUUUCCUUCUGCAAGUUUUGAAUGUGGGAUGUUAGACGUAAGGAGCUAUUCACCUGGGCUGUUACCUUCCGUCACGAGCUCUGACUGGAAAUUUUAAAUCAGGGAUCAUGUUCAUAGUUUCUCAUCUCAAUGCAGAAGUAAACACAUUUUAUUAUACAUACAAAUUACUUGUGCUGCUCUUGGGAAUUGUAGACUUCUGAGUUUUACUUCCAGAGGUUCUGAUCUAGUAGAUCAAGGUAAGCUUGGUAAUGCGCAGUUUCAGUGAACACUCCAAGCAAAUCUGAUGCGUGUGGCCAUUAGAGCACACUCUGAGAGUCAUACCUUGGUCACCUGAUUUCUAAUAAAGAAGGCUUGGCAGUGAGAUUUCCCAUCUCGACUAUUCAGAGUUUCUCUCCCAUGAAUUUUCUCAUGUUGAAUAAGGGAUGUAUUAUAACUGAAAACUUUCCUGCAUUCAUUACAUUCAUAGGGUUUUUCUCCAGUAUGAAUUCUCUGAUGCCUAAUGAGUUGACAUCGCUGACUAAAGGCCUUUUCACAAUGAUUACAUUCAUAGGGUUUCUCGCCUGUGUGUGUCCUUUCGUGUUUUGUAAGAGUUGACCGAUCAUUAAAGGCUU